AGGCCCGUAGCUCAGUUGGUUAGAGCGCUUCGUUGACAUCGAAGAGGUCGGUGGUUCGAGUCCACUCGGGCCUACCA
rnacentral:tRNA from 2 species